GACGUAGGGCGCGAGCGUUGUCCGGAUUUAUUGGGCGUAAAGAGCUCGUAGGCGGUUCAGUAAGUCGGGUGUGAAAACUUUGGGCUUAACCCAAAGCGUGCAUCCGAUACUGCUGUGACUUGAGUUCGGUAGGGGAGUGGGGAAUUCCUAGUGUAGCGGUGAAAUGCGCAGAUAUUAGGAGGAACACCGGUGGCGAAGGCGCCACUCUGGGCCGAAACUGACGCUGAGGAGCGAAAGCAUGGGUAGCAAACAGG
rnacentral:rRNA from 1 species